AAGUCUCUGAAAUCUCUUUCCUCCUUUUCAAUACGAUCCCGAUUGUACCCGAUUCCUGCCCAUUCAAAACCCUAGCUUCAGCUUAGUUCCGAUAUUGGCCAUGGCGACCCCACCGUCUUCUUCCACAGCUCCUGCAUCGACUUCCUCUCAAUUCACAUACGCCAACGCUUCGUCGUCAUCGUCCUACUUCCCCAUGCCCUUUCACCUCCAGCAACCCCAGUAUCCCACGCCUUACGCCGCUGCAGCGCCACCAGCCCCGCCCGUCUACCCAGCCCCGGCCCCGGCCCCGGCCCCGACCUCUGGUGUCUACUCUCUCCCUCAGCAGUAUCAACAGGCUCAGCAGUUAUUUCAAAGGGAUGCACAGACGAUUACACCUGAAGCUCUUGAGAGUGUGAAAGCUGCCCUGGCAAACAGUGAAAUCGAGCACAAAGCUGAAGCUAAGAAGAAAGCCAUCCCCCGUAAAGCUGCUGGGCAGUCUUGGGAGGACCCAACUCUUGCAGAAUGGCCAGAAAAUGAUUAUCGCCUAUUUUGUGGUGAUCUUGGUAAUGAGGUGAAUGAUGAUGUCCUUUCAAAAGCAUUUUCACGAUUUCCUUCCUUUAACAUGGCCAGAAUUUAUAUUUCAAGAGAACAGAGCACUUAAUGUUUUAUUUAUUCUAAGGUUGGACUGCUGGAAUCAACAUUUGGAGCUUGAUUUGGUUGAAUUUGACCUGACUCUCAUGGGCUAGCUUGAGUUAUUGCUUGUUGGGUCGAUUUGAACAAGUUUGGAGUCAGUCAACCUUCAAAAUCAUACAAGAGUUGGCUCCAUUCAAUUUUGCGUUAUGGCCCUAAAAAACCAUGUCUGAUGUCUUGGAACUAAAAUUAAAAUUUGAAACACAUCUAAAGUCUUUCCGUUGCUGCAUCAAGGCUUGUUUCCAGUUGAGAGAACCUGAGUGGUGGGGCAAGGGGGGUGUAGAGGAAUAUGGGAGUUGGGCCAAUGGGUAUCCAAGCUAGAGCAUGGUUGUUAGAGAUAAGAGGACUGGCAAAACCAAGGGCUUUGGAUUUGUUAGCUUUGCCAACCCUUCUGACCUGGCCGGAGCACUCAAGGAAAUGAAUGGUAA